GACAGAGGGGGCAAGCGUUGCUCGGAAUCACUGGGCGUAAAGGGCGCGUAGGCGGGAUGGCAAGUCAGUCGUGAAAUCUCUCGGCUCAACCGAGAAACGUCGGCUGAUACUGCCGUUCUUGAGGGAUGCAGAGGAGACUGGAAUUCCCGGUGUAGCGGUGAAAUGCGCAGAUAUCAGGAGGAACACCGGUGGCGAAGGCGGAUCUCUGGGCCAUUACUGACGCUGAGGAGCGAAAGCGUGGGGAGCGAACAGG
rnacentral:rRNA from 1 species